GCGGAGGAAAAGAAACUAACAAGGAUUCCCCUAGUAACGGCGAGUGAAGCGGGAAGAGCUCAAAUUUGAAAUCUGGUGGCCUCAGGUCAUCCGAGUUGUAAUCUAUAGAAGUGUUUUCCGUGCUGGCUCAUGUACAAGUCCCUUGGAACAGGGCGUCAUAGAGGGUGAGAAUCCCGUCCUUGACAUGAACUACCAGUGCUCUGUGAUACAUUUUCAACGAGUCGAGUUGUUUGGGAAUGCAGCUCAAAAUGGGUGGUAAAUUCCAUCUAAAGCUAAAUAUUGGCGAGAGACCGAUAGCGAACAAGUACCGUGAGGGAAAGAUGAAAAGCACUUUGGAAAGAGAGUUAAACAGUAUGUGAAAUUGUUGAAAGGGAAACGAUUGAAGUCAGUCGUGCUCUUUGGAUUCAGCCGGUUCUGCCGGUGUACUUCCUUUGAGUGGGGUCAACAUCAGUUUUGAUCGCUGGAUAAAGGCUGGAGGAACGUAGUACCCUCGGGUAAACUUAUAGCCUCCUGUCACAUACAGUGGUUGGGACUGAGGAACGCAGCACGCCUUUAUGGCCGGGAUUCGUCCACGUACGUGCUUAGGAUGUUGACAUAAUGGCUUUAAACGACCCGUCUUG
rnacentral:rRNA from 1 species